AUUGAACGCUGGCGGCAGGCCUAACACAUGCAAGUCGAACGAGAGGCGGACGGGUGAGAAAUGUCUGGGAGACUGCCCGAUAGAGGGGGAUAACUACUGGAAACGGUGGCUAAUACCGCAUACUCUCGGAUGUACCCACAUGGGAUUAGCUAGUAGGUGAGGUAAUGGCUCACCUAGGCGACGAUACCUAGCUGGUCUGAGAGGAUGACCAGCCACACUGGAACUGAGACACGGCCCAGACUCCUACGGGAGGCAGCAGUGGGGAAUAUUGCACAAUGGGCGCAAGCCUGAUGCAGCCAUGCCGCGUGUAUGAAGAAGGCCUUCGGGUUGUAAAGUACUUUCAGCCGGGAGGCGUUACCCGCAGAAGAAGCACCGGCUAACUCCGUGCCAGCAGCCGCGGUAAUUC
rnacentral:rRNA from 1 species